rnacentral:rRNA from 1 species
GAUGAACGCUGGCUACAGGCUUACACAUGCAAGUCGAGGGGAAACGACGGGGAAGCUUGCUUCCCCGGGCGUCGACCGGCGCACGGGUGAGUAACGCGUAUCCAACCUGCCUCUGACUGAGGGAUAACCCGUCGAAAGUCGGCCUAAUACCUCAUGGUAUCGUCUGCGGGCAUCCAACGACGAUUAAAGAUUUCAUCGGUCAGGGAUGGGGAUGCGUCUGAUUAGCUUGUUGGCGGGGUAACGGCCCACCAAGGCUACGAUCAGUAGGGGUUCUGAGAGGAAGGUCCCCCACAUUGGAACUGAGACACGGUCCAAACUCCUACGGGAGGCAGCAGUGAGGAAUAUUGGUCAAUGGGCGAGAGCCUGAACCAGCCAAGUAGCGUGCAGGAAGACGGCCCUAUGGGUUGUAAACUGCUUUUAUGCGGGGAUAAAGUGAGGGACGUGUCCCUCAUUGCAGGUACCGCAUGAAUAAGGACCGGCUAAUUCCGUG